rnacentral:rRNA from 1 species
CGGACGUGAGGAACCUGCCUUUCAGAGGGGGACAACAGUUGGAAACGACUGCUAAUACCGCAUGACACAUAGAGAUCGCAUGGUUUUUAUGUCAAAGAUUUAUCGCUGAAAGAUGGCCUCGCGUCUGAUUAGCUAGUUGGUGAGGUAACGGCCCACCAAGGCGACGAUCAGUAGCCGGACUGAGAGGUUGAACGGCCACAUUGGGACUGAGACACGGCCCAG